rnacentral:rRNA from 1 species
GACGAACGCUGGCGGCGGGCUUAACACAUGCAAGUCGAACGGAAAGGCCCUGCUAUUGUGGUGUUCCCGAGUGGCGAACGGGUGAGUAACACGUGAGUAACCUGCCCUUGACUUUGGGAUAGCUUCAGGAAACUGGGGCUACUACCGUAUAGGAUCUCCUGCUGCGGUGUGGGGGUUGGAACGUUUAGGCUGUUGGGGAUGAACUCGCGGCUUAUGAGCUUGUUGGUUGGGGAGUGGCUGACCAAGGCUGUGACGGGUAGCCGGCCUGAGAGGGUGACCGGCAUCCUGGGGCCUACGAGAGGGACCAGUCGCGUAUGGGAGGCAGCAGUGGCAAAUCUUGCCCAACGGGAGGAAGUCGGAUGAAGAAACGCCCGGUUCGGGAUGACGGCCUUCGGGGUGUAAAAAGCUUCCGCCUGUGACGACGCGUGAGUGACGGUAAUGGGUAAAGAAGCACCGGCUAACUACGUG